GUGGCUAUUCGUACCUUCUGGAGCCUCUCUGGUGGUUCGGCAUGAUCACAGUGUAAACAAAACAUAUAGAAAUUAAUUCAGAUUUCGGCUUCAAAGGCUUGCAGAGAAAGCAGAAUGCACAAAUUCGCCUUCAACCACAGAUUCGCAGAUUCGCCUUCAACCACAGAUUCGCCUUGGAGUUUCCGACUUCCUCUGAUCGCAAGAUUUCGGCUUCAAAGGCUUGCAGAGAAAGCAGAAAACAGGACGAUUUAUUUUCAGAUUUUCCCUCUGUCGUUGCAAGUGGUGCUGAAGUCAGGUUGUGCAAGAUCAUCCAGUGUUA